UACGGAGGGUGCGAGCGUUGUCCGGAUUUAUUGGGUUUAAAGGGUGCGUAGGCGGCUCUGUAAGUCUGGGGUGAAAGGCCCGUUGCUCAACAACGGAACUGCCCUGGAAACUGCCGAGCUUGAGUACAGACGAGGGGUGGCGGAAUGGAUACUGUAGCGGUGAAAAUGCAUAGAUAGUAUCCAGAACCCCCCGAUUGCGAA
rnacentral:rRNA from 1 species